rnacentral:rRNA from 1 species
GAUGAACGCUAGCGGCAGGCCUAACACAUGCAAGUCGAGGGAGAAGCCCUUUCGGGGGCAGAAACCGGCGCACGGGUGCGUAACGCGUAUGCAACCUACCCUUCACAGGGGGAUAGCCCGAAGAAAUUGGGAUUAAUACCCCAUAAUAUUAUUGGAUGGCAUCAUUUGAUAAUUAAAACUGCGGUGGUGAAAGAUGGGCAUGCGUCCUAUUAGCUAGUUGGAGUGGUAACGGCACCCCAAGGCUACGAUAGGUAGGGGUCCUGAGAGGGAGAUCCCCCACACUGGUACUGAGACAGGGACCAGACUCCUACGGGAGGCAGCAGUGAGGAAUAUUGGUCAAUGGUCGGAAGACUGAACCAGCCAUGCCGCGUGCAGGAAGAAUGCCUUAUGGGUUGUAAACUGCUUUUAUAUGGGAAGAAUAAGGCGUACGUGUACGUUGAUGACGGUACCAGAUGAAUAAGCAUCGGCUAACUCCGUG